CCCAUCUUCACACGAACGACUACACCAGCCUCAGUUGACCAGCCUGCUCGGGGCUCGGCUGCAUCGCGUCUCCUUCCCCAGCCACGCUAGGUCGCUCGCCGCUCAGCCACGGCAUGGCGGCUCACCUCACUCCUCCAUCCAUGCCGCCCCACUGCCUCGACGCCGGCGCCGGUGAGGCAAGGAGAAGCUCGUCUCUGGUCCACGCGCGCCGAGGAGGUCCUGAGGGGGGAACCAGAGUUCGCCUGAGACAGUCAUUUUCGUCUCCUCGCCACUGGAAGGUGGUCGUCGAUGUCCGCCGGCCGGCAAGCCAUCGGCUCGUCGCCGGCCGCCCUCCAUACAAAUUUGGCUACUGGAUUCUGUGGAUAUGACAACUGAUAAUGAACCAAGAUGUAGUGAGUUCGACUGCCACCUCCUACAAUAUUUUUAUCAUGUUUUUUCUACCACGGGAGAAGUGGUGGGAUCGCCAGAAAAAUCAAAGAUCGCGCGGGGCGAAAGAAGUGGAACGCGAGAGGACCAAGCGGAUCUGUUGCUUAACGUCCAGUCGAGUGGACGUUAGCACAGUCCUCUUGUUUAUAAAUGUGCACGUGUGUGUGUCCAUUCUUCGUCACUGGCUCCUUGCGCAAUCUUCUGAUGGUGCAUAUAUAUUUAUCAGAGCAUCUCCAACAGGUGCCCAA